UUGACUGAAGCCAAAAAGAGGCUGAUCAUUGUUACUGAUCCUAAUGGGAAUCCCUGUCGUU
rnacentral:tRNA from 1 species